UCAUCCCUUUUCCAAUCAUAAACAAGCUUGAUCAUCAAAUCAUUCUCUUCUCCCUCUUUAGCCUAAACACUAGCAUCCCCAUUCUUUUACUAUUUCUUCCUUUAAGCACUCCAAGGAGUUCAUACUUUACCUGAAAUUCUAUACUUAAAUCAAGGUGUGAAAGGUAGAAUUAACUGAGGGUUUGGACCAAAUCAACUCUACUUUUUAUUUAAUUUAAUUGUUUCAAUUUGAUUUUUUUUUUUUAUUGAAGUUACUAAUAGUUUAUUCAUGAUGUAGCAAUUUAAAGGAACGUGCAGAAUGAAGUCGCGGUCAAACUCAACCUAGUACAGAGGGGAGACAUGGACAUGAACGAGUUUGACAUGGAGCGCUACAAGCUCAAUAUGAGGCGGAAAAACGGUUAUCCCUAGACAUGCGAAGAAGCGGUCGGCGCCCGCUUUAAAGGAUGAUGAGUCGUCCAAGGCUCGCAAGGUUUCAGCGUCCAGAACGCCAGCGGCCAGGGCUAGGUUGUGGGUUGCAUCGGUGCAACCUAAAGCUGGAACCUAGUGGGGACUCUAAGUCCUCGGAGCCACCUUCGUUCGAGGUGGCCCAAAAUGAACCCGUCCGCAAGGACGGAGGGGAUGUACCGACCCCGGACAACACAGUGGAUCAGGACUCAGCUUUACAUGUUGAGUUUUUGGGAACUAAGCCUUCUGGUUCCCAAACUGAAGGGGAGUUUCCCUCUCCGCUCAAGGCAGCAGAGCAGACUCAGCUGGCGCCUCCUCUAGAGGGGCGUCCGCGCUUUGCAAAUCUCUCAGAAGAGACUUUUGAGGAUUUGGACGUUUGUCCCCCUGGUUCUUCCUUAACUGGGGCCAAAUGCAAGACCGUCCGGGACGCUAUCUAAAAGGUCGUCCUGGUUGAGACUCAGGACAAAUACUGGGGUAUCCAUGAUGGGCACCUCGGUCCCAUGAUCAACAACUGUGAUGAGCUUCUCCUUAGGCUCUGCCUUCCGGGACUGGCGUCUGAGGCAAAGACGUGAGCUCGAGUUGGCCUGGACAGAUCUCCAUAAGCUGCAAGACGAGAAUACCGGCUUGAUGGCCAUAGAGAGGGCUCGUCAUCAAACGGUGAUGAAUGCUCCGUCCGAGAAAAAUACUCGGCACGCUAAGGACAUCGUCAAAAUAGGUGAUUGUAGACACCUAAAUGUGUCCCCCCAAAACCAAACCCAGUGAUGAAUACCUUUCAUGUCAUUUGAUUAUCGAACAAA